rnacentral:tRNA from 1 species
GGGCCUGUAGUAUAAUGGUAUCACGAAUCCAUGGCAUGGAUUUAAUCGGGGUUCGAUUCCCCGCAGGUCCACCA